rnacentral:rRNA from 1 species
GACGAACGCUGGCGGCGUGCUUAACACAUGCAAGUCGAACGGAAAGACCCUGCUUUUGUGGGGUGCUCGAGUGGCGAACGGGUGAGUAACACGUGAGUAACCUGCCCUUGACUUUGGGAUAACUUCAGGAAACUGGGGCUAAUACCGGAUAGGAGCUCCUGCUGCAUGGUGGGGGUUGGAAAGUUUCGGCGGUUGGGGAUGGACUCGCGGCUUAUCAGCUUGUUGGUGGGGUAGUGGCUUACCAAGGCUUUGACGGGUAGCCGGCCUGAGAGGGUGACCGGCCACAUUGGGACUGAGAUACGGCCCAGACUCCUACGGGAGGCAGCAGUGGGAAAUAUUGCACAAUGGGCGGAAGCCUGAUGCAGCAACGCCGCGUGCGGGAUGACGGCCUUCGGGUUGUAAACCGCUUUCGCCUGUGACGAAGCGUGAGUGACGGUAAUGGGUAAAGAAGCACCGGCUAACUACGUG